rnacentral:rRNA from 1 species
GAUGAACGCUGGCGGCGUGCCUAAUACAUGCAAGUCGAGCGAACGGACGAGAAACUUGCUUCUCUGAUGUUAGCGGCGGACGGGUGAGUAACACGUGGAUAACCUACCUAUAAGACUGGGAUAACUUCGGGAAACCGGAGCUAAUACCGGAUAAUAUUUUGAACCGCAUGGUUCAAAAGUGAAAGACGGUCUUGCUGUCACUUAUAGAUGGAUCCGCGCUGCAUUAGCUAGUUGGUAAGGUAACGGCUUACCAAGGCAACGAUGCAUAGCCGACCUGAGAGGGUGAUCAGCCACACUGGAACUGAGACACGGUCCAGACUCCUACGGGAGGCAGCAGUAGGGAAUCUUCCGCAAUGGGCGAAAGCCUGACGGAGCAACGCCGCGUGAGUGAUGAAGGUCUUCGGAUCGUAAAACUCUGUUAUUAGGGAAGAACAUAUGUGUAAGUAACUGUGCACAUCUUGACGGUACCUAAUCAGAAAGCCACGGCUAACUACGUG